GGUUCAGAACGUCGUGAGACAGUUCGGUUUAUAUCCGGCAUGAUCGUUAGGAAUUUUGAGGAGAUCUACCCUUAGUACGAGAGGACCGGGGCGGACGAAUCUCUAGUGUAUCGGUUGUGACCACCUGUUGCAUCGCCGAGUAGCUAUGUUCGGAAGAGAUAAGCGCUGAAAGCAUAUUAAGCGCGAAGCCCACUCCAAGAUUAGAAUUCCCUAUGAGAUCCCAGAGAGAAGAUCUGGUUGAUAGGCGCAAGAUGGAAGUACCGCAAGGUAUGGAGUCGAAGCGUACUAAUAGAUCCAUCGCCUUUUUAU
rnacentral:rRNA from 1 species